UCCCUGGUGGCUCAGAUGGUAAAGAAUCUGCCUGCAAUGCAGGAGACCCCGGUUCAAGCCCUGGCUCAGGAA
rnacentral:tRNA from 1 species